rnacentral:rRNA from 1 species
GUGUAAGUUAUUAAGGGCACACGGUGGAUGCCUUGGCAUUAAGAGCCGAUGAAGGACGUGUGAAUCUGCGAUAAGCCUCGGGGAGCCGAUAACUGGGCUGUGAUCCGAGGAUUUCCGAAUGGGGAAACCUGGCUCAUCUUCAUGGUGAGUUACCGCCAGCUGAAUGUAUAGGCUGGUUGGGGGGAACGCGGGGAAGUGAAACAUCUCAGUACCCGCAGGAAGAGAAAAUAAAGUAAUGAUUCUGUGAGUAGUGGCGAGCGAAAGCGGAAGAGACUAAACCUGUGGUGUGUGAUAGCGGUUAGGCGUUGCAUCAUGGGGGUUGUGGGAGUCACAGUGGCAGUUCUAACUGGCUGCCGGCAUGAUGUUCAGGAUGGUAGGUGAACGACUUGGAAUGGUCGGCCGUAGAGGGUGAGAGUCCCGUAAUCGAAAUUGUUCUGUCCGUGGUGUGGCCACCCGAGUAGCACGGGGCUCGUGGAAUCUCGUGUGAAUCUGCCAGGACCACCUGGUAAGUCUAAAUACUUCUUAGUGACCGAUAGUGAAUCAGUACCGUGAGGGAAUGGUGAAAAGUACCCCGGGAGGGGAGUGAAAUAGUACCUGAAACCGUGUGCUUACAAGCCGUUGGAGCCUUUUGGGGUGACAGCGUGCCUUUUGAAGAAUGAGCCUGCGAGUUAGUGUUAUGUCGCGAGGUUAACCCGUGUGGGGUAUCCGUAGCGAAAGCGAGUCUGAAUAGGGCGUUUGAGUGGCAUGACCUAGACCCGAAGCGGAGUGAUCUAUCCAUGGCCAGGUUGAAGCGACGGUAAGACGUCGUGGAGGACCGAACCCACUUCAGUUGAAAAUGGAGGGGAUGAGCUGUGGAUAGGGGUGAAAGGCCAAUCAAACUCUGUGAUAGCUGGUUCUCCCCGAAAUGCAUUUAGGUGCAGCGUUACGUGUUUCUUGCCGGAGGUAGAGCUACUGGAUGGCCGAUGGGCCUUCACGGGUUACUGACGUCAGCUAAACUCCGAAUGCCGGUAAGUGAGAGCGUAGCAGUGAGACAGUGGGGGAUAAGCUUCAUUGUCGAGAGGGAAACAGCCCAGACCACCAACUAAGGCCCCUAAGCGUGUGCUAAGUGGGAAAGGAUGUGGAGUUGCUUAGACAACCAGGAGGUUGGCUUAGAAGCAGCCACCCUUGAAAGAGUGCGUAACAGCUCACUGGUCAAGUGAUUCUGCGCCGAUAAUGUAGCGGGGCUCAAGUACACCGCCGAAGUUGUGGCAAUGAUCUUUUUGGAUUGUUGGGUAGGGGAGCGUCGUGUGGCCGUUGAAGCUGCGGUGUAAACCAGUGGUGGAGGCUAUGCGAGUGAGAAUGCAGGCAUGAGUAGCGAAAGAUGAGUGAGAAACUCAUCCGCCGGAUGAUCAAGGGUUCCAGGGUCAAGUUAAUCUGCCCUGGGUUAGUCGGGGCCUAAGGCGAGGCCGACAGGCGUAGUCGAUGGAUAACGGGUUGAUAUUCCCGUACCGGUGAGAAACCGCCCAUACUGAUAUUGUGAUGCUAACCAUGCGAAGCAUGAUGUGCAGGCUUUUGUUUGUGUGUUGUGUGGGUUGUGGGACCCGAUCUUUGGAGGUAAACGUGUUAACAGGUGUGACGCAGGAAGGUAGCCAAGCCACGCGAUGGUUGUCGUGGUCUAAGCGUGUAGGGUUGUCGGUUGUUAAAUGCGCCGGCUGUGUGCCUGAGACGUGAUGGGACCCUGUUUUUGGGGGAUUUGGUGAUCCUAUGCUGCCGAGAAAAGCAUCGGCGUGAGGUUUUAGCCGCCCGUACCCUAAACCGACACAGGUGAUCAGGUAGAGAAUACUAAGGCGAUCGAGAGAAUCAUGGUUAAGGAACUCGGCAAAAUGCCCCCGUAACUUCGGGAGAAGGGGGACCUUGAGCGUGAUGGGCACUUGCUGCCUGGAGCGUGUAUGGGUCGCAGAGACCAGGGGGAAGCGACUGUUUAUCAAAAACACAGGUCCGUGCGAAGUCGUAAGACGAUGUAUACGGACUGACUCCUGCCCGGUGCUGGAAGGUUAAGAGGAUUGGUUAGCCUUUUUUGGGCGAAGCUGAGAAUUUAAGCCCCAGUAAACGGCGGUGGUAACUAUAACCAUCCUAAGGUAGCGAAAUUCCUUGUCGGGUAAGUUCCGACCUGCACGAA